AUGACUAUACUUUCAGGGAUCGUUUCUAUAGUUUGUUACUAGAGAAGUUUCUCUGAUCGUGUAGAGCACCGCAGUUAAAACAAAUAAAUU
ensembl:snoRNA U3 Small nucleolar RNA U3